GGAAGCCGGUGCAAGCCCGGCACGGUCGCGCCACUGUGUGCCGUCCCUCCCCGGAGGUGGCGGUGAGUCAGAC
rnacentral:ncRNA from 1 species